GAUGAAGAACGUAGCGAAAUGCGAUAAGUAAUGUGAAUUGCAGAAUUCAGUGAAUCAUCGAAUCUUUGAACGCACAUUGCGCCCCUUGGUAUUCCGGGGGGCAUGCCUGUUCGAGCGUCAUUAUAACCCUCAAGCCUAGCUUGGUGUUGGAGCAUGCUACCUAAGCAGCUCUUAAAAUCAGUGGCAGUGCCCUUCGGCUCUAAGCGUAGUAACUUCUCUCGCUAUGGAACCCGGAGGGUACGCGCCAGAACCCCCAACUUUCUAUGGUUGACCUCGGAUCAGGUAGGGAUACCCGCUGAACUUAAGCAUAUCAAUAAGCGGAGA
rnacentral:misc_RNA from 1 species